GACCUCCAGCGCCAACUCCGCACAAAAGCCCUAGCCUCUCAACAUCCAGCGCCGCCUCCAGCCAGCAUCGCCGACCUCCAGCGCCGCCUCCCUUCAGCAUCGCUGACCUCCAGCAACCUCCCGUCCUCCACCUCCAUUCGAUUCCAGCGACCUCCGUCCUUGGCACCGUGUGGACAGAGCAAUUUGAAGAUUAUUUAAGCAAUGCAAGCGGUGUUGUGCAUUUGGAACGGAUCUUGAUCUUUGAAGAUCUCUGUCAAAGAUCCAACUAUCAUUGUGCAAAGAAGAAAGAGAACUAAGCACCAACUGGGUUCAAGACAAAAAAUGAACGUAUUUUUUUUAAAGAUAAAACAAGCACACAGGAGAUCUCGGAACAAGUAAGAAGUCAGAGAAGAGUUGACUUUGUUUCUCACGCUGAUCAGGACGGGCACCAAGAACAGUUGCUUGGUCUCUGACCUACUCCCAAGCUGCUAGCUCUUUGGCUGUCGAGAUAUAAUGGAUGUUGAUCUAGUGAUGGAGAAUGAUGAGACUAAUUGUGAAGCCUAAAUAUUGAAGGAAAAGUCCUUGGAUCAUCCCUAAAUAUUAUUUUCUUCUUAAUACAUGUGCUGCUUAUGCUUGAGGCACAGUGUAUAUCAAUUAUUUACAGCAAAUUUAUAUGAAAUUAACUCAUCUGAGUUUGUAAUUUAUUUCACCAAGAAUUUUCUUGUAGCAUUCUACUUGGAAAUCCCAAAUAAGAUAUUCAAGUCAUUAAGAUUGUGUUCCAUUUC